rnacentral:rRNA from 1 species
GACGAACGCUGGCGGCGUGCUUAACACAUGCAAGUCGAGCGGUAAGGCCCUUUCGGGGGUACACGAGCGGCGAACGGGUGAGUAACACGUGGGUGACCUGCCCUUAGCUCUGGGAUAAGCCUGGGAAACUGGGUCUAAUACCGGAUAUGACUCCAUAACGCAUGUUGUGGGGUGGAAAGCCUUGUGCGGCUAGGGAUGGGCCCGCGGCCUAUCAGCUUGUUGGUGGGGUGAUGGCCUACCAAGGCGACGACGGGUAGCCGGCCUGAGAGGGCGACCGGCCACACUGGGACUGAGACACGGCCCAGACUCCUACGGGAGGCAGCAGUGGGGAAUCUUGCGCAAUGGGCGAAAGCCUGACGCAGCGACGCCGCGUGA